rnacentral:lncRNA from 1 species
UUUAAACUAACUGUGAUGCUAUCUUAUUUAUUUAAUUAAAUUUUAUAAAAAGUGCUAGUUUUUAACCUUUUAAAAUAUAAAAAUAAAAUGGAUAAUAUAUCACCACGGUUGCUUUAAUCAAUUGUAGUGACAUCUGGAUUAUUUUCAUAUUAAAAAUUAAAAAAAAAAUAUAGACACCACUAUAAAAAUAAACAUAAAAAGAGGAGGAUAAUAUCUCCACGAUUGGAUUAGUCAAUCGUAGUGAAAUGCGGUUUAUAUUAAAAUAAACCAAAAUGAAA